AUGAAAGAAUUGGAGUGAUAAUAGUCCUAUACAAACAUACAGUCCAUAAGAAAAUGAAUUUGGCAUAUAGAAUUAUUACAAUUUCCUGGGAGAGAUGGAUAUUUAAACCUCUAUUAUUUUAGACAAGACUGUCUAGAACUUAAGUUUGAUCUGUCAGCCAGUACUCCCAUUAAAUUCAGUGUAGUUUCACUUGAUAGAAUCAGAUAUGUCAUCGAAAUGUUAGCAGCAGCUUCAUCCUCCUUCUGAUGAAAGUAAGUAGAAAUGGGAUGUUUUGUUUAAUAACAGCCAUAGUGUGUGUUUAGACCACAGCGGAUGUUGUAGACCAGGACCAUAGAUGAUACAUGUCAGUGCUGUGGAAUGUGCAUUCUCUGAGUGUUGUUUUGUGGUAUCAUUGUCUUUCCUGAAUGACUUUCUAACUGUGCAGAAAGGCAGAAAAGUCAUCAUAUGUAUAUGUCAUAUGACUUUAUAAAAUAUUUAAUGUGACAAAAAGUGGAAAGAAUCUUUACAAACCCUGCAAUUACUUUUUUAAAGGCACUUUUACUCUUUGGUUUUAUCAUUCCAUUUUGCUAAUAUUUACUAGCUUUAUAAAUUACAGUAAGGUACAAAAACUCAUCUUGUAAUAUUUUCAUUUUUGAAGUGAAAAAGUACAUAUAUUUUGCACAAGGUUUUAUACUGCUAAGUGCUUGGUUGGGGUGGUGAGAUGAUGAUUAGAUCAGGGGUGAGGCUGAGAGACUCUGGGUUUAGGGCUAGCCCUGCCUCCAUCUCCCUUGGGUAAAAUGAAGGGUGUGGGGUAAAAGAUGCAUAAGGCCUUUUCUAGCUCUGACCACCUAGAAGUCCAAUCACCCUGUAAUUAAUAUGUGUUGAAUGAAGAAAUGGGUGAAUGAGCUUGUCAAUGUGAUUUUAAAAAAUUGACUACCUGGAGGAAUGAUUAGGAAUCUAAAUGGAGCCAGCCCUCGGUAUCUGCAGGUUUCUCAUCCAUGGAUUCAACCAACUGCAAAUGGAAAAUAUGAUUUUUUUUAAAAAAAGGAUGGUUACAUCUGUAUUGAACAUGUACAGACUUUUUUCUUGUCAUUAUUCUCUGAACAAUACAAGAACUCUUUAUGUAGCAUUUACAUUUAUUAGGUAUUAUAAGUAAUCUAGAGAUGAUUUAAUUAAAAUAUACAGGAGGAUGUGUGUCAGUUAUAUGCAAAUUCUGUACCAUUUUGUAUCAGGGAAUUGAGCAUCUUCAGAUGUUGGUAUCUGCAGGGAUCCUGGAACCAAAACCCUGCAGAUACUAAGGGCUGACAAUCUAGGUAAGACUGGAUUUAACAGUUGGAAAAAAAAAAAAAAAGGAGAGAGAAGACAGUUCCUUUCCUGUAGAAAUUAAAACAAAAUACAAAUUGAGGAAGCUCUGCUACCCAGGCUGUCAUGGUAGAGAACUUGAAGAAGACCUGUUUGGAUGGACGCCUGGUUUCAAAAGUCAGGUGUGGAGACUGUGUUAAAUGGGAGGGCCUCAUCCAUAAAUGAUUUCUGGCAACGUCUUCUUCAGGUGGAGCUUGACGUCUUUUUAAUGUUACUUGGGGAGGGAGUGCUCAUUAAGGGAUGCCAGGGCCAGCUCUGGUGGUUCCUGGGGAGGCUGCGUCCUUCCCUGCUUCUGCAUGUCAUGAGGCAGCAGGAAGGUUUCCCCUGCACCUGUCUGUCCUGGCUCCCUCUGGGUAGCCCCCUACUGUUCUGUGCUUCAGCACAGCCUGGUUUGUCAAGAGGCACAUAGUUGGGGCCGGGCUGCAUGGCGCAGGGGCUGAUGUGCCUGCUGGUUAUUUAAUUUUUAGCCUUAAGUUUUCUUUAAUAUUUUCCUGUUGGCUAUUUAAAGGUUUUGGUUAUCUUUUAUUCCUUAUCUACAAUCAAGAUGACAAUGUAAUUGAAUUAUCUCAUUUAUAACACGGUUCAUGAUUCAUGAUUCAUGAUUACAAGCAGAAAAUAUGUCAUGUUCCUCACCUCCAAAUAAAUAUGUGUGUGUCUGUGUGUGUGUAUAUAUGUAUGUGGCAGAGAGGGAGAGAGUGGGGAAGGAGAGCAGUGUUAUCAUACAUAGAGAGGCUAAAUGUGUCCCAUCCCUCACUGUCAGCUUUAUAAAGGAGUUUGACUCCAUCCACAGAAGAAUGUUUUAUAAGACUAGGAAAACACGUUGAAAACUAGGAUAAACAGCAACAAAAAUCAACUAAAUAUGUUGUUACUGUUGCUAAGGAUUUUCUCCUUAGAAUAAUUUAGGAUUUUUAAAAAUUUCUGUUUGCCAAAUGCUGUAGAUAAAUGGCCAGAUUCUUCCUAUCCCCAGGAUUCCUUUAUUAUUUUUUUUCACAGAUUUUGAGAACAAGGGGGAGACAUAGUAUGGAAGAUUAAGAUUCCAUUAAUCUUAUAGAACUGUGUUGUCACCCAAAUUCCUGCUUGUUUGAACAUGGCAUCUUCAUAGAUUCAGGAUUCACUACCCUCUAUAGCUGGAUCUUGAAAAUUAUCUGGUCAGAUAAUUUUGCAUCUGCUUGGAUGAUUGUAGACUAAGAUGUAAGUGGAGGAUAAAGUAUUAGACCUUUGCUGAGUAACUGCCAACCAAGAAGUAUUUAUCGGACACUUACUAGGUGCCCAGGAUUGUAUCAGAGGGAAUAUGAGAUGUGUCCCUGCCCUACUUAGUUUUAACGAGAGAAUAUCUAUUAAAGGCUACUUAGCUAAAGGGUAAGGGUGACAGGUCUACGGGAAGCUUUGGGAGGUGGUGUGCUGUGACAGAAAAAGUGGCAGAGUAGGGACGAGAGACCUGCAUUCUAGCCCUGUUUCUGUCACUUGCUCUGUACACUUAGACAACAGCUUGACCUCUUGAGCUUUAGUUUCCUCCUCUGCAUAAUGAGAGGGUUAGACUACUGAAUUGUAUGGGAAAAAAAUACAAAUUCCUGGGUCCUAGGCCAUGCCUGCUGAAUCCGACUGUUCAGGAAGAGGCCUAGGAAAUCUGUGAGGGAAUCCCCAGGGGAAUCUCGUGACCAGCCAGGUGUGAAAUCUGCUAACUGGAAGAUCUCAAAGCUUCCUUCACUUUUUGUGAUUUUGUGGUCAUGUAACAUUACUGUAUUAUUCUACGUAAAUGUGGGUACUUGGAUGUUUAUCAUACUGUUUCUCUGUGUUUACAUACUAAUUUGUGUAAGAAAUGCAUUUUAGUCUGUGUACCUCAACCUGCUGUUUGUUUCCUAGAGGUGUUAGUAGUCUUUAAAUAUAAGUAAGACUUAAGAGGAUAUUUGAUGUUAUUUACCUGGAUAUUUUCUUCCCCUUUUAUUUAUUUAGAGGAAAUUGAGAUUCUAGGAGCCAAAAAAAUGAAAACAAAAUUCUAAGGCAAAGUUAAGGAAAAAAAUUACAUUAUUUCUUGCCAUUUGCUACUUUAUAAUGAAAAUUUAAAAAUUAUAUGGGAAGAUUUUUCUCUGGGAUAACAAAUCCUUGUCAUAAAGUAAGAGGUCUUUUUAAAGUAGGUAGGCUAUAAGGCCUGUAAUUUAAAAUAAUACUCCUUUCUCUAGGGGUUCGUGCAAUUCUCCAUUAAUGAAGAUAACAUUUGAAUUCCCCAAAGCAGAACAUCCUAUAUUUAUGAGAACAUUCUUUAAGAAGACCACCACAUAGAAUACCCCUUCCUAUCAGCUCUCUCUGAUUUAGCCUUAAUUUUGUUAAAUUUUUUAGAGAUGAAUGAAGUGCUGCUGUGGAAAGAAAUGUACAUAGACUAUUUCUGUAUCAUUAAAAUUACAUUUUUAUGGUUC